rnacentral:tRNA from 1 species
GCCAGAGUGUCGGAAUUGGCAGACGAGCGCGACUCAAAAUCGUGUGCCUAAUAAGCGUGUGGGUUCGAGUCCCACCUCUGGCACCA